GCCGAUCGUCGCGAAAUUCAAAUCUGUGGACUAGGUGUUUGUUUGUUUGCUGAACAGUACGAGGUCAUGUACCAUGUGAUGCUGAAGAGGUUUCUGGGUAAAGAUGAUAGAAAUAUAAUAGUGUAACAGUGAAAGCUAAAACAUCAGACUGAUCCAGACACUGAAGAAAUUGGUGUGACUGCAAUCUGGCCAAAAUGAUACAACUAUAAUGAAGUAAUCUACUGUGAUGAAGCUGCAGAACGACACAGAAACUCUGAGGACAUCAACACAGAAUAUCAAGACUCCCAAAGAGAUGUCUGUCCAGAUGAGGGUGCAUCAACAUUACCUUUGCUGACAAGUAUAUGCUUUAGAAAUGUUUGAAUAAUUCCAGGACAGAGCUGUGCAUUUGAAUCUAGAGCCCUAUUCGACGGGAUUAGUUUUACAGGGGGACCUCUGAGAAAAUCGUGCUUCUCAGCGGUCCUCUGUGGUUUUAAUCCCGUUCGAAUCGGCCAUGUCUGUGUUUUGAUGACCUCCGUAAAAAUUCCAGAGCAAUUUACCUACUGUUUUCCGCCAAACUCAGAGGUCAUCUGAGAAAUUUAAUCCCGUCCGGAUGCAAAUGUCUGUGUUUGCCCGCAAUAUCUUUUGAAAACGCGGUUCUUGUUGUCUUUUGGCCAAAGUAAUCUGCCGUAAGGUCUACAGAGUAUAUAUAUUGUACUUCCUGAGUCCCCCCUGAGUCCCAUUCAUUCAGAUAUGGAUGUUUUUUCCCCAUUCGGCGAAAUAAAAUAAUUAAAUCAGGACGAGCUGAAUAUCAAACACUGUUAAGACUGGCCACUGUAAUAUCGUUAACUUUUGAGGUAAACUCAAACUUAUUUUGUCCAACUCCAGAAUGGAAAUGUUAAAUAAUAAAGAUAAUAAAUUGUUAUUAAUCAUUAUUUCUUCAAAUCGUUGGGUUUAUUAUAAGCAGCCAGUUAUAUAAAACAUGUAGGCUACUUUAGUAUGAUUUGUAAAAGUUAUUUUGAUUUGUUAAAAUUUUUCAAGCAAAAUAUUAAACCUUACAAACAAGCAUAUCUAGAGCACGUGCUCUUCUGCAAUGCCCAAACACAUGAAAAGGACACUCCCAUCUCUAGAAUAGCCUGAGAAUUUUAAUCCCGUUCGAAUCGGUACAUUAAAUCACAGACGUCGUGGGGGACAUGUUGAAACUCAAACGUUGUUUGGAAAACUAAUCCCAUCCGAAAAGUGCUUUGAACUGAUUUCUUAAAGUAAGAUCAAUGUAGUUGUUCAUUUUAUUUAGAUCAUUUACUACAUAACAUUAGCCUAGAAAUCUAGACGCACCCUAGCGGCCGCAAAAUAUAUUUGCUGCCAGGGUUUAGUCUAGGCACUCACAAUACACUUAACAGCUCCAAAAACCAAAAUUUGGUCAGGCCAAUCACAUCGUGUGUAGCGUCUGUGGGGCGGGCUUAACAUGAUGACGACAGAGCUGCAACGGUUCCUACUAGAAUGGAUGCUGCUGCUGGCGAACAGCUUUCUUUUGAAGCGGCUUUGGCCGCGACUCUGGAGGACUUAGACUUAUGUUUUUCUUUGAGAGAAGAGCAAAUAACCCUACUGAAGUCCUUUUUAAGCAAGAAAGAUGUGUUUGGAGUUUUGCCGACUGGUUACGGUAACUACGUCACCUUCUUCGUUGCUCUUAGCGCUAUCCUAUUGCGUGCAGAGGCAUUUUGAGGGACAACCUUA